rnacentral:rRNA from 1 species
CCCUUAGAUGUUCUGGGCCGCACGCGCGCUACACUGAUGCAUUCAACGAGCCUAUCCUUGACCGACAGGUCCGGGUAAUCUUUGAAUCUGCAUCGUGACGGGGAUAGAUUAUUGCAAUUAUUAAUCUUCAACGAGGAAUGCCUAGUAGGCGCAAGUCAUCAGCUCGCGUCGAUUACGUCCCUGCCCUUUGUACACACCGCCCGUCGCUCCUACCGAUUGGGUGUGCUGGUGAAAUGUUCGGAUCGGCCGUUUGUCGCGGUUUCCGCGUCAUGUGGCUGAGAAGUUCAUUAAACCCUCCCACCUAGAGGAAGGAGAAGUCGUAACA